CUCAUUCCCCCUUCUUAUAAUUAAAGGGGCGCUUGGUUCAAAGGCAAAGUAUGAAUAUUACGAUUUUAUGGAAUAACCUCUCAACAUUCAGGGUAAGGCAACGAAAUUUUUCACUCUCUCAAUCUCGCACAUUACCCCUCCUUAUAAUUGAAAUGAAUCCAGAUAAAGAUCUAAAACCUCUUCUCUCGGUGACCGAUUCCCAAGGAUUUUAAACCCGGGUGCCCUAAUCGUCGAUUCUGAAUCAUAUAGCCGGAAUCGGUCCCAGAAACUACUCCUCUGAGAGGCCGAUUCGACGUAUCCGAUUCUGAUUUUAGAAACAGCGUGCCCCUUCUCGGCAACCUCAUAUUACGUUUUCAAGCCUUCGUCACUGAUUCACUGGACAAGAAUUGCAGCUUUUGUGGGUUUAGAGAUGCGUACAUUGAAGGAAGUGGUGCAUGAUCUGCAUUGAUUGGGCUUCUUCUUCUUCUUCUUCAUUUUCAUUGGCUGCUCUGGGUGCACUAUUGUUGUGGUGAAAUUGGGAUUACCAUUUUCAGGAUUCACUACUGCCAUUGUGGAGUAUAUCCCCCAUUCCUAUUUUGUGAUUCUAGAUAAAUAUUAUUUGUGUUUGGGCUGUGCUGUCAAUUUGCCUGCAAUGCUGUUAUUGUAAGCUUCUUCUAUGCCUGAUACCCCCUUCUUGUGCUGCUUGAAUGCAAUUAAGUAUAGCAUUCUCAAUUAUUACUGGUAUUUGCCCUGGCAUGUUAGUUCCAUGAGCUGCAUUUGCCUGAUUCUGCACUGAGGGUUGUAAGUUUCUAGGCCUAAUAGUACCCAUCAGUCAACACCCAGAUUAAGGCCAAGCAAAUUUCAAUACAGUUAUUUUAAUCAUAGUAAUUGAGUUUGGCUUUCUAAGGCUAGCCAAUAACCUGAAGUUUGAAAACCCAUACACAUAAAUUAGCGUGAUAUAUAUAUAUAUAUAUAUUUACGGUAAGGUUGCUCCAUUGCAACCUAAUGUUUCAGGUUCGAGUCGGGAUACAGGCUCUCCACAAAGCGAGAGUAUGGCUGCGUACAUUAUCCCCCCCCCCCCCAAAGACCCUGCAGUGGUGGGAGCCUCGUCAACUUGGUUCUUGGUUUAUAUAUUUUAUAUUUUCUCCUGAAUCAUGUCCAGGGCCUCCUUGAGCUGGGACUAGUGCACUUUGCCAUUUUGGGUUUAUUACAGCAACCUAUUCGGACCAAGAGCACAGAAAUAUCUAUGAAGUAGCCAGACAAAGCCCAAACUGCUUCAUGCAUUUCUAAAGGGGGAACAAGCUUCAGUUGUCCUAGGAAGUUUUCAAGUAAAUUUAAUUGAUAGUUGACAUGCUAUAUAUGGUGAUGUAAUUGGGUAGUUUAUUGGCAGUUAUGGAUUAGAGAUGGGUUUAGAUAUGGUAGCCUUGGCACCACUUGGGCCACAGUUGGAUUAACUCGGUCAGAACAGGUUCUUGUACCCAUCAUGCCUGUCUCAUGAGACUCAUCUAGCAUUCUUAGAUGAAAUAGAUAUUUUCUUCUCUGUCUUUUCAAAAUAUUUGGAAAUUAUACGUGGAUUUGAAGACCCUUGACUAUUCCCCUGUACUAUCUAGUUUUAGAGUUAGCAUAUUUACUCUACCAAAAAAAAAAGGUUUAGCAUAUUUACUCUUUACCUUAAGGUAUAGUAGCACUUUUAUUGAAACCUGUCCUGCCUCACCACAAAUCACAUUAUCCAUGUUAGGGACAGUUAAUGUUUGUAUUGAUUCUUCUGUGUAAUGCUUAUAUUUUUAUUUUUUUAUUUUUUCUAUGUUGGUGAAUUUUGGAACUCAAGCACAUCCUAUAUAUUUUUCUCAAUAUUGGCUAUUAUUAGGAACGCUGGUCCUAUGUUAUUUUCAUUUGAGGGUCUCAAUCCCCAGAAUUGGUUGCUGAGGAUGUUACUUCGGGUCAUUCUUGUCUAUUCAAUGGUCGGAACACAUCAUCCUUUCACAUGGCAAAACAUAGGUGGGGCACAUAAGACGGCCUUUCUACAUGGGCUGUGCAGACAACCUUUUGCGUAAAGAUGUCAGCUGCACAGUAUAUUUGUGAAUUACAGUGGUUUGGUUGUUGCAGGAGUUUGAGAUGAUACCGCAACUAGUUUAAGAAGCUAAAGCACAUUGUCAUGGACAAAGAGGUUGGUCCAUGAUGGUGGGAACCGAAGUGUGAUGUUAUCAUCUUUAGAAGGAGGCCCUACUGCUUAGAUUGAGGUUUUGGGCGUGGAAGUAUGCAUGGGAUGCUCACUACCAGUACUGCUGUUUAUGUUGUUCAUCAUUAUGGAUCAAUAUAUAUCCAUCUCAUUGAUUAAGUUUCAGCCCCAAAAUACAGGGAAAGAGCCUCAAAAGGGAGUCACAGUAUUAUUAUUGUUACAAAAAUAGAGAUAGAUAUCAAGGGAAGGCGGUUCUCCGCAGGUCUUCACCUAAGUAAAAUGCCAUGCCCUCUAGUAACUUUCACAUGGCAGUUCACCGAGACUGAAAUAAUUGUGUGGGUGGAUACCAAGGUCUUCUAGUCAUUUGCCAAAUUUAAGUUCAAUCCAAGUUUGUCAAGUGGCAAAAAUGUAUUGAAAAAAUUUAGGACUACGAAGAAACUACAAUGGUCAAAGUUUCUCUAUCAUCCUUUUACUUGGCAAAAAAUGUAAGACCUGAUAGUUUACUUCGAGGGGAGUUUCUAUUGAAAUCUUUUUCCUUGUUUUUUUUU